UCCCAGGGAUCCACCCAUUGCCACCUGAGC
rnacentral:piRNA from 1 species